rnacentral:rRNA from 1 species
ACCUCUUCCCUUUCCGAACAGAGAAGUUAAGCCCGAUUGCGCAGAUGGUACUGCAGUUAUGUGGGAGAGUAUGUCGCCGCCUUUC